GGUGGUGAACUGUGGUGGUGGAACUGGUGUGUUUGCAAAUUGGCUCCAUUGUGGUGGCGGUGGAAAAUUUGAUGUGAUGCCCUGUUGCUGCAUUAACUGUUAAACACAUAUGUGUUACUACUGAAGAUGUUGUAUUGAAAUAUAAUAAUUUAGAGUUCGGAUUAUGUGUACUCACUUGAUACAUCGCUUGAUUAUGAGCAUUGCAAGCCUCCAUAAAUUCGCGUUGUUGUCUCAUCUCUUCACGCAUCCUCAUAAUCUCCAACUCCUGCUCGUUCGGUCGACGAGAGCAUGAGCUACGGGAAGAUGAACCCGUCCUCUGAGAUCUCACCGACGACGAGUCAAUGAAUCCGUCGAAGAGUGUGUAUCUAUAAGUGAUUCAAAAAAUGUUAUUACUGCAUAAUCCAUUUAGUGUCAACCAUAUAAUUUCAUAAGUUAGAGCUUACCGUCCAUGCGCUUUGCCACCACCACUUGCGUACACCACCGAGGGAUCCACCGGUUCAUGGCGCCAGUCGUAGUCAGGGCCAUGGCGACGAACCAUCUCCUCCCCAUAUGCCGCCUAUACAUCAUUCACAACCUUACAAAUGCAGGAAUUUAUAUACUUUGAACGUUUGAACUUUUGAGCCAAAACUCACCAAGCGAUCCGUGGCUGUCUGGCUGCAGAGCUGGUCAGGGUUGUUCGGGUCUGGUCCUUUGUGGCCCUCCUGGUACACCUCAAUGUCACUAGGCUUUUGGCCACUCGUAGCUUCCUGUAUAAACAAAAAACAUUCAUAAGCAAUCGUAUUAUUUGUUGAUCGACAUAGAAAGAUCAAACUUACCAUUCUUUUAGCUUUUCGUAUCAUGUCGUCACCGCCAAACUUGUGGUUAGGAUUGGUUCCUCGACAUUGUCUGUGAUGCGCUGACGCUUUCUGGAAGCCUUCGGAAGCCCAAUAUCGACACCAAGCAUAGUACGCAUCAGGCACGGGCGCCAUCCAUGGAACCAUCACCUGCACACACACAAUGUUACAUAUUAUAUCAAUCACAACAAUAAAUAUAAAGGGUAAAACAAAUUGAAUACUAACCUCACGAUAUUGAUCCCCAGUCAAAUAUAUCUUUGAGGACCCUUCCUUUUUAUUCAAGGGGCCCGCUUCUUCCGGAUGCUUUUGAAAAUACAGGUUUGUAGCCUGAAUUCUCGCAUAGUAUAUGGCAUCCUUCACCAGCUUCUUUGCAUUGUUUUGCAAGACACGUUCAGCGUGCCCCAUGUAAUCCUCUCCGUCAGGCAACCGAUAUCGAAGCUACAACAUAAAGAAUACAAAUACAAUGGUAUAAGUCAUAGAUUUACAAUAUUAAGAAACAUAACAAAAAUAAUAAAGAAUUCAUACCCAAAAGUCAUUACGCACAAGUCCCUGUCUGUCGGUGUGGUUUCGUUCCUUUUUAAACUUGUACUCAUCCUAGGUACUGAUGAGCACCUCAUCCUCGGUAUCACUGUUUGACACCUUCACUAUACCAGGGUAGUGAAGGCGGCAAAGAGAACCCAAUGUAAGGUUAACCUGAGUGUGGUGUCCCUUGCCGUCAAAGGACAGGUCCUCCCAAUUCCUGCAGUACACAAAAACAUUAACAAUACACAUAAUAGUUAUAUUAGAUAAGUUAAUAUAUUACACUCACCGAUCUCCAUGUGGCAUGAUUAAAGUCCUAUCAGCCUCUCACUCUAUCGCGUGACGAGGCUUUACUGAGUGGCUUUUUCUUGAGCGACGUGUGCGUGUCGCUGAAGAGCCUCCCGAGCCAUCAUCCAUCGGGUUGUCAGCCGGUUCGCCCUGUUGGCCCCACUGGUCCCACGCUUGUUGCUGCUCUCUCUGGUGGUCCCACUGGUCCCAUGGCUGGUGAUGCUGUGCGGCCUAGUCCCAUGACACGUGGUCCACCUCCUCAUUGUGCUCCACCUCCUCAUUGUGCUGCACAGCCUCAUUGUGCUCCUCCUCCUCAGUGUGCUGCUCCUCAGUGUGCUGCUCAUCCUGGUACAUACAACUCAAGAUUUAUUUGUAAAUAUGUAAACAAAUUUAUUUGUACAAGAUAUGUUACCUCAUCUCCAUGUACCGCGCUCAACAGCUCUCGACGUCUGCUGCUGCUCGAAGAACUGCCCUGAAAAAGGCCCAGGCCCUUGAACAAGCCCUUCACUGACUUCUUUGAUUUUGGCGGCAUCCUGCAUAAAAAAUAAGAAAUUAUUCAUUAGUGCAUCAAAAAUGACAUAAUACUUAAAAUAUAAACAAAUGAAAUAACAAAACAACUUUACUUGUUAAAUAUCAUCAAAAUCAGGAUCUAUUUGUUCUCUUCUAUGCAGAGGUCGCCAUGUAACUUUUCUCCUAACCGGUUGUCUUCUCCGUCUCUCGGGAAAAGUUAAGUCGUUAACGUCUGCAACUAGUGAAUCUAAUGCCGGUGCAGGAUCAAUAUGAAAAUUAGUUGGCAACUCUUCUUCUUGAAACACCUCAUCAACCUGCUCAAGGUGACCAAUUUGAUAUUCGUCCUCACCAGGAGUGUAUAGGCGUUCGCGGGGAUUUACAUUGUACACAACCCUCCAUUUAGACAACUUUUUGCAUGGAUAUGUCGAGAAAUAAACUUGGUCUGCUUGAUGGGCAAGGAUAUACGUGUCGUGUCCUUGAAGCAAUUUCUCAGGUUGGAUCUGUGUCAUCCCAAAUUCGGUCCUAUAAUACUUCGGGUCAUACCAUUUACACUCAAAGAAAACUAGCGCUAAAGGCUUAUUUCCAGCAAAUGUAAUCUCGAUUAUACUUCGGGUAACCUCUUUCUCAGGUUGGAUCUGUGCCUCUUUCUCCAGCUGUUCCAUCACAUCUCUUCUGAUUUCUUUAGCACACAACUGUCUGUAGAAAUAGCUAACUUCAGCUAACGUUUUCCACACAGCUUCUGAAAUGUAUCCACGAAACAUUACAGGCAUGAGCCUCUCCAUAAUUAUGUGGAAGUCAUGGCUCUUCAGUCCAUUCAUCUUCAUUGUCUUCAAGUUCACAGAUCUUCUAAAACCAGCGGCAUAACCAUCGGGGAAUUUAAUAUCCUUCAUCCACUUCAUCACUUCUUUCCGUUGCUUAGAUUUCAGACAAUAGUCAGCUUUUGGUUUGCCUCCGUUUUCUCUAAGCACCAGGGUUGGACGAUCACAUAUCACUGCUAAGUCCAUGUGUGCCUUGUCAUUGUCUUUCGUUUUAUCAGGGAAAUCCAUGCAUGUAUUUAUGAGGGCUUGGCAAAAGUUACUCUCUUGAUGCAUGACGUCAAUGUUGUGCAUCAAAAUCAAUGACUUAGCAUAAGGAAGCUCCCACAAGCCACAUAUGUGAGUCCAGUUAUGCUCCUCACCAAAACCUUGAUACCUUUUCCCACUCUCGUCUAGGACAAGUUUCAUAUGCUCUUCUGUAAUUUCUAUCCCACUACGUCGCUUGGGCGGUCCCUUCGUGACGAUGGUGCCCUUCCUAAAUUCCUUUCUCUGCCUUCUGAAGGGGUGAUUGAAGGGUAGAAAACAUCUAUGACAAUCAAAGUAACAUAUCUUGCCACCAGCACUAAGACGAAAACAAUCUGUAUCUUUAGCACAAUAAGGACACGUCAAUCUACCAUGCACGCUCCAUCCAGAGAAAAUACCAUACGCCAUAAAAUCAUGAACCGAGAACAGAUAUGCAACACGAAGAUUGAAUUUCUGCUUCUUGAAGCAGUCAUAGGCUUCCACACCUUGCCAUAGCUUCUUUAACUCUUCAAUCAGUGGUUGAAGCAUCACAUUGAGGCGUACGCCAGGAUGCUCAGGCCCAGGUAUAACAAGACAUAGGAACAUAAACUCAUAUUUCAUGCAAAGAGCAGGUGGAAGGUUGUACGGUAUGGCAAUGAUAGGCCAACAUGAAUACGACGCAGCGGUCAUAUUGAACGGCGUGAAACCAUCAGUUGCCAAGCCGAUACGAACGUUUCUUGCAUCGCUGGCAAAAUCUGGAUCAAAUUUGUCAAGAGCCUUCCAUGCAUCACCAUCUGACGGGUGCACCAUUAACCCAUCUUGUCUGUUGAAAGGGAAAUGUGCCUUUGGGCCAUUUCUAAGUAUUUUGGUGAUUAAGUGCCAACACAAGUGCUUAAAUGUGAAUCUAUGCCUAUGGAUGAACAAAGUGCAAAUCACAAGUAAAGGUAUGUUUCUAAGCCUUAGUACAUUGGUUUUGUGUACUAAUAUAUUUGUCUAAGUGUUAGAAACAGAAAGAAGAAGAGAAGAGAAGACUUGGCUGUGUGCAGCCAAGGGGCUGUUUCGGUCUGGGGCACCGGACUGUCCGGUGGUGCACCGGACAGUGUCCGGUGCGCCAGGCCGCCUCGGCCGAAAAGGCCGCUCUCGGGUUUUUCUCCGGAGACUUCGGCUAAAAUUCACCGGACUGUCCGGUGUGCACCGGACUGUCCGGUGAGCCAACGGUCGGCCGGGCCAACGGUCGGCCGCGCGAUCGGCGCGCGACACGUGGCCGAACCAACGGUCGGAAAGAUGCACCGGACUGUCCGGUGUGCACCGGACAUGUCCGGUGCGCCAACGGUGCGCAGAUCUGACUAAGACAGCAACGGUCAGAUACGCUGUUUAUGGAAACAAAUCGGGCACCGGACAGUGUCCGGUGUGCACCGGUCUGUCCGGUGCGCCCGACGACAGAAGGCAAGGAUAGCCUUCCAGAUGUGUUCUCAACGGCUCCUAGCUGCCUUGGGGCUAUAAAAGGGACCCCUAGGCGCAUGGAGGAGAAUACCAAGCAUUCCUUGAGCACUCUUGAUCACUCACACAUCAAUCUCGCGCACUUGUUCGACAUUCUAGUGAUUUGAGCUCCGUUCUAGUGUGCUAGUCUUUUGAGCUCAAGUCUGGGUCUUGUGUGUGCGUAUUCGCUGUGAUCUUUGUGUCGUGUGUGAGUUGCUAAUCCCUCCCUUGCUCUGUGAUUCUCUGUGAACAUCUUUUGUAAGGGCGAGAGGCUCCAAGUUGUGGAGAUUCCUCGCAAACGGGAUUGAGAAAAGAAAAGCAAGAACACCGUGGUAUUCAAGUUGAUCAUUGGAUCACUUGAGAGGAGUUGAGUGCAACUCUCGUCCGUUGGGACGCCACAACGUGGAGUAGGCAAGUUUUGUACUUGGCCGAACCACGGGAUAACCACUGUGUCAUCUCUGUGAUUGGAUUCGUGUGGUUAUUGUGUUUUGACUCCUCUCUAGCCACUUGGCAUUACUGUGCUAACGCUUAAUCUAAGUUUUGUGGCUAUAAGUUUAAGUUUUUACAGGAUCACCUAUUCACCCCCCCCUCUAGGUGCUCUCAAUUGGUAUCAGAGCCGUUCUCUUCAAGAAAGGGACUAACCGCCCGAAGAGAUGGAUCCUAAGGGGAAGGGAAUUGUGAUCAACGACAAGGAGAAGGAGUCCUUCGUCAACGAGCCAAGGGAUGACAAGUCCAAUGACUCGGGCUCGGGCCACAAGCGAAGAGAUGGGAAGAAGAAGAAGACAAGACGCAUCAAGGAAAUCGUCUACUACGACAGCGAUGAGUCCUCUUCUUCCCAAAAGGACGACGACCACGACAAACAAAGGAAACCGGUUAAUUCUAACUUUUCUUUUGACUACUCUCGUAUUCCGCAAAGUUCAAAUUCACAUUUGCUUUCUAUUCCACUCGGCAAGCCCCCACACUUUGAUGGGGAGGACUACGGAUUUUGGAGCCACAAAAUGCGUAGUCACCUAUUCUCUCUCCAUCCUAGCAUAUGGGAGAUUGUAGAUAGUGGAAUGCACUUUAAUAGUUCGGAUAGUCCUAUAUUCAUUAAUGAGCAAAUCCAUAAGAAUGCACAAGCUACUACUGUUCUUCUAGCCUCAUUGUGCAGGGAUGAAUAUAAUAAAGUGAGUGGCUUGGAUAACGCCAAGCAAAUCUGGGAUACUCUCAAGAUCUCUCAUGAGGGAAAUGACGCUACCUUGCUCACCAAAAUGGAGUUGGUGGAGGGCGAGCUUGGACGGUUCGCGAUGAUAAGGGGCGAGGAGCCAACUCAGACAUACAACCGGCUCAAAACCCUUAUCAACAAAAUAAGGAGCUACGGAAGCACGCGAUGGACGGACCACGACGUCGUCCGACUAAUGCUCAGGUCCUUUACCGUUCUUGAUCCUCAUCUCGUGAACAAUAUUCGUGAGAAUCCCAGGUACACGAUGAUGACGCCCGAGGAAGUACUUGGAAAAUUCGUGAGCGGGCGAAUGAUGAUCAAGGAGGCAAGGUACGUCGAUGACGCGUUGAACGGUCCAACCCACGAGCCUCAACCCAUUGCUCUCAAGGCAUCGAGAAGCAAGGAGGCACUACCAAGCAAGGUGGCGCAAAUUGAGGCGGCCGGGCUUAAUGAUGAAGAAAUGGCUCUCAUCAUUAAGCGCUUCAAGACGGCGUUAAGGGGUCGCAAGGAGCAUCCCAACAAGACCAAGACGAAGGGGAAGCGCUCAUGCUUCAAGUGUGGUAAGAUUGGUCACUUUAUCGCUAAUUGUCCCGAUAAUGAUAGUGACCAGGAAAAGAAGAGUGGAAAAUGGGAAAAGAAGAAGAAUUACAAGAAGGCAAAGGGCGAGGCUCAUAUUGGAAAGGAGUGGGAUUCGGAUUGCUCCUCGUCCGACACCAACAACGAAGGACUCGCUGCCACCGCCUUCAACAAGUCAUCCCUCUUCCCCAACGAGCAUCACACUUGCCUCAUGGCAAGGGAAAAGAAGGUAACCACUCGUAAUGCUAAUACUUAUGAUUCUUCUAGUGAUGAUGAAUCUAGUGAGGAUGAAGUAGAUUAUUCAUGUUUAUUCAAAGGCUUAGAUAGAUCUAAGAUAGACAAAAUCAAUGAAUUAAUUGAUGCCUUGAAUGAAAAGAAUAUACUUUUAGAAAAGCAAGAGGAUUUGUUGUAUGAAGAACAUGAUAAGUUUGUAGAGGCUCAAAAAUCCCUUGCAUUAGAAAUUAAGAGGAAUGAAAUGCUUGCUUGUGAAGUGUCAACAUGCCAUAAUUCUAUUUCCAACUUAAAGAGCAUAAAUGAUGAUUUAAAUGCUAAACUAGUAGAAGCAAAUAAAUCCAACUCUUGUGUUGAAUAUGUUGAAGUUUGCACUAGGUGUAAGGAUAUUGAUAUUAAUGCUUGUAGCGAACACUUAGUUUCAAUUUCAAAAUUGAAUGAUGAAUUAGCUAGUCUUAAUGCUCAACUUAAGACUAGCAAGAGCAAUUUUGAUAAACUAAAAUUUGCUAGGGAUGCCUACACGGUUGGUAGACACCCCUCAAUUAAGGAUGGGCUUGGCUUCAAGAGGGAAGCCAAGAACUUAACAAGCCAUAAGACUCCUAUCUCCACCAAGGAGAAAGGGAAGGCUCCUAUGGUUAAUAGUGUUAAGAAGAAUCAUGCUUUCAUGUACUAUGAUAGGAGAUACUCUAGAAAUGCUUUUAGAAGUAAUGAUGUUUUUGAUUCACAUGCUUAUGACUCUUAUGAUAUGACUGCUUCUAGUUCUCAUGUUAUGCAUGGUAGAAAUGUGUUUAGAAGAAAUGUUGUUCAUCAAAUACCUAGGAGAAAUGUUGUUAGGAAAGUAGUGAAUGAACCUUCUACCAUUUAUUGUGCUUUGAAUGCUUCCUUUGAAAUUUGUAGAAAGGAUAAGAAAAUUGUUGCUAGGAAGCUAGGGGCAAAAUGCAAGGGGGACAAAACUUGCAUUUGGGUCCCUAAGGAUAUUUGCACUAACCUUGUAGGACCCAACAUGAGUUGGGUACCUAAGACCCAAGCCUAAAUUUGCCUUGCAGGUUUAUGCAUCCGGGGGUUCAAGCUGGAUUAUUGAUAGCGGAUGCACAAACCAUAUGACGGGGGAGAAGAAAAUGUUCACCUCCUACGUCAAGAAUAAGGAUUCCCAAGAUUCAAUCAUAUUCGGUGAUGGGAAUCAAGGCAAGGUAAAAGGGUUAGGUAAAAUUGCGAUUUCUAAUGAGCAUUCUAUCUCUAAUGUAUUUUUAGUAGAGAGUCUUGGAUAUAAUUUGCUAUCUGUUAGUCAAUUAUGUCAUAUGGGAUACAACUGUCUGUUUACAAAUGUAGAUGUGUCUGUCUUUAGAAGAAGUGAUGGUUCACUAGCUUUUAAGGGUGUAUUAGACGGCAAACUUUAUUUAGUUGAUUUUGCAAAAGAAGAGGCCGGUCUAGAUGCAUGCUUAAUGGCUAAGACUUGCAUGGGCUGGCUGUGGCAUCGCCGCUUAGCACAUGUGGGGAUGAAGAACCUCCACAAGCUUCUAAAGGGAGAACAUGUGAUAGGUCUAACCAAUGUUCAUUUCGAAAAAGAUAGACCUUGUGCAGCUUGUCAAGCAGGGAAACAGGUGGGAGGAGCGCAUCACAGCAAGAAUGUGAUGACCACUUCAAGACCCCUGGAGCUGCUACAUAUGGACCUCUUCGGACCCGUCGCCUAUCUGAGUAUAGGAGGAAGUAAGUAUGGUUUAGUUAUUGUUGAUGACUUUUCCCGCUUCACUUGGGUGUUCUUUUUGCAGGAAAAGUCCGAAACCCAAGGGACUCUCAAACGCUUCCUCAGGAGAGCUCAAAAUGAGUUUGAGCUCAAAGUGAAAAAGAUAAGGAGCGACAACGGGUCCGAGUUCAAGAACCUUCAAGUGGAGGAGUUCCUUGAAGAAGAAGGGAUCAAGCACGAGUUCUCCGCUCCCUACACACCACAGCAAAAUGGUGUGGUAGAGAGAAAGAACAGGACGCUCAUCGACAUGGCAAGGACGAUGCUAGGAGAGUUCAAGACCCCCGAGUGCUUUUGGACGGAAGCCGUUAACACUGCUUGCCACGCCAUCAACAGGGUCUACCUUCAUCGUCUCCUCAAGAAGACGUCGUAUGAGCUACUAACCGGUAACAAACCCAAUGUAUCGUACUUUCGUGUAUUUGGGAGUAAAUGCUACAUUCUAGUGAAGAAGGGUAGAAAUUCUAAGUUUGCUUCAAAGCUGUAGAAGGGUUUUUGUUAGGUUAUGACUCAAAUACAAAGGCGUAUAGAGUCUUCAACAAAUCAUCGGGUUUGGUUGAAGUCUCUAGCGAUGUUGUAUUUGAUGAGACUAAUGGCUCUCCAAGAGAGCAAGUUGUUGAUUGUGAUGAUGUAGAUGAAGAAGAUAUUCCGACGGCCGCUAUACGGACCAUGGCGAUUGGAGAAGUACGGCCACAGGAACAAGAUGAACGAGAUCAACCUUCUUCCUCAACUAUGGUGCAUCCCCCAACCAAAGAUGACGAACAGGUACCUCAAGUGGAGGCGCUUGAUCAAGGGGGAGCACAAGAUGAUCAUGUGAUGGAGGAAGAAGUGCAACCGGCACCUCCAACCCAAGUUCGAGCGAUGAUUCAAAGGGAUCAUCCCGUCGACCAAAUUCUGGGUGACAUCAGCAAGGGAGUAACUACUCGUUCUCGAUUAGUUAAUUUUUGUGAGCAUUACUCUUUUGUCUCUUCUAUUGAGCCUUUCAGGGUAGAGGAGGCCUUGCUAGAUCCGGACUGGGUGUUGGCCAUGCAGGAGGAGCUCAACAACUUCAAGAGAAAUGAAGUUUGGACGCUGGUGCCUCGUCCGAAGCAAAAUGUUGUGGGAACCAAGUGGGUGUUCCGCAACAAACAGGACGAGCACGGGGUGGUGACGAGAAACAAGGCUCGACUUGUGGCAAAAGGUUAUGCCCAAGUCGCAGGUUUGGAUUUUGAGGAGACUUUUGCUCCUGUGGCUAGGCUAGAGUCAAUUCGAAUCUUGCUAGCAUAUGCCGCUCACCAUUCUUUCAGGUUGUACCAAAUGGAUGUGAAGAGCGCUUUCCUCAACGGGCCAAUCAAGGAGGAGGUGUACGUGGAGCAACCCCCUGGCUUCGAGGAUGAACGGUACCCCGACCACGUGUGUAAGCUCUCUAAGGCGCUCUAUGGACUUAAGCAAGCCCCAAGAGCAUGGUAUGAAUGCCUUAGAGAUUUCUUAAUUGCUAAUGCUUUCAAGGUUGGGAAAGCCGAUCCAACUCUUUUCACUAAGACAUGUGAUGGUGAUUUGUUCGUGUGCCAAAUUUAUGUCGAUGACAUAAUAUUUGGUUCUACUAACCAAAAGUCUUGUGAAGAGUUUAGCAGGGUGAUGACACAGAAAUUCGAGAUGUCGAUGAUGGGCGAGUUGAACUACUUCCUUGGGUUCCAAGUGAAGCAACUCAAGGACGGCACCUUCAUCUCCCAAACGAAGUACACGCAAGAUCUGCUAAAGCGGUUUGGGAUGAAGGACUCCAAGCCCGCAAAGACGCCGAUGGGGACCGACGGACACACCGACCUCAACAAAGGAGGUAAGUCCGUUGAUCAAAAAGCAUACCGGUCAAUGAUAGGUUCUUUGCUUUACUUAUGUGCUAGUAGACCGGAUAUUAUGCUUAGCGUAUGCAUGUGUGCUAGAUUUCAAUCCAAUCCUAAGGAGUGUCACUUAGUGGCGGUGAAGCGAAUUCUUAGAUAUUUGGUUGCUACGCCUUGCUUCGGGCUCUGGUAUCCAAAGGGGUCUACCUUUGACUUGGUUGGAUACUCAGACUCCGACUAUGCUGGAUGUAAGGUCGAUAGGAAGAGUACAUCGGGGACGUGCCAAUUCUUAGGAAGGUCCCUGGUGUCAUGGAACUCUAAGAAACAAACAUCCAUUGCCCUAUCCACCGCUGAGGCCGAGUACGUUGCCGCAGGACAGUGUUGCGCGCAACUACUUUGGAUGAGGCAAACCCUCCGGGACUUUGGCUACAAUCUGAGCAAAGUCCCACUCCUAUGUGAUAAUGAGAGUGCUAUCCGCAUGGCGGAAAAUCCUGUUGAACACAGCCGCACAAAGCACAUUGACAUCCGGCAUCACUUUUUGAGAGACCACCAGCAAAAGGGAGAUAUCGAAGUGUUUCAUGUUAGCACCGAGAACCAGCUAGCCGAUAUCUUCACUAAACCUCUAGGUGAGAAGACCUUUUGCAGGUUGCGUAGUGAGCUAAAUGUCUUAGAUUCGCGGAACUUGGAUUGAAUUGUAGCAUACAUGUGUUUAUGCAUUUGAUCAGGUUCAUUCUGCAUUUUGUUGAUUAUUGUGGUGCUCAAGUUGUACAAACACUCCCUGGACCUCACAAGUCCGUUGCAAAGUGAUGCACAUGUUUAGGGGGAGAUGUGUUACAACUUGACCCUUUGAGACUAACCAUUUGCUUGAGUUUGCUUGAUUUAGUCUCGAAGGAGAAUUGAAAGGGAAAAGGUGGACUUGGACCAUGAAAGACUUCCACUGCACUCCGAUGAGAGGGUAACUAAUUCCAAGUUCAUCUCAUAGACUCUUAUUGCCAUUUGCUCUUAAUUGAAGAUUUUGGUGAGGCAAUGGGGUUAAAAGGGCCAAGAUUGAUCCCGUUUUGGUGCUUGAUGCCAAAGGGGGAGAAAAUAAAGGCCAAAGCGAUAAAUGGAUCAGCUACCACUUGAGAGAUUUUGAAAAUAGUAGAAUAGAGUUUUUGUUUUGUCAAAAGCUUUUAUUGUCUCUUAUUGUCUCUACUGUCAAAAGUUGGUUUCUUGUGGGGAGAAGUGUUGAUUAUGGGAAAUAGGGGGAGUUUUUUGAAAUCUUUGAUCAAUCUCAUUUGGAAUGACUCUCUUUAUGCCUCAACAUGUGUGUUUGACAUAGAAAUAGAGAUUUGAGUUUGAUUUGCAAAAACAAACCAAGUGGUGGCAAAGGAUGAUCCAUAUAUGCCAAAAUUGAAUCAAAACCAAUUUGAGUUUUCAUUUGAAGUGAUUUUGCACUUGUUCUAGUUGCUUUAUGUUGUGUUGGCAUAAAUCACCAAAAAGGGGGAGAUUGAAAGGGAAAUGUGCCUUUGGGCCAUUUCUAAGUAUUUUGGUGAUUAAGUGCCAACACAAGUGCUUAAAUGUGAAUCUAUGCCUAUGGAUGAACAAAGUGCAAAUCACAAGUAAAGGUAUGUUUCUAAGCCUUAGUACAUUGGUUUUGUGUACUAAUAUAUUUGUCUAAGUGUUAGAAACAGAAAGAAGAAGAGAAGAGAAGACUUGGCUGUGUGCAGCCAAGGGGCUGUUUCGGUCUGGGGCACCGGACUGUCCGGUGGUGCACCGGACAGUGUCCGGUGCGCCAGGCCGCCUCGGCCGAAAAGCCCGCUCUCGGGUUUUUCUCCGGAGACUUCGGCUAAAAUUCACCGGACUGUCCGGUGUGCACCGGACUGUCCGGUGAGCCAACGGUCGGCCGGGCCAACGGUCGGCCGGGCCAACGGUCGGCCGCGCGAUCGGCGCGCGACACGUGGCCGAACCAACGGUCGGAAAGAUGCACCGGACUGUCCGGUGUGCACCGGACAUGUCCGGUGCGCCAACGGUGCGCAGAUCUGACUAAGACAGCAACGGUCAGAUACGCUGUUUAUGGAAACAAAUCGGGCACCGGACAGUGUCCGGUGUGCACCGGACUGUCCGGUGCGCCCGACGACAGAAGGCAAGGAUAGCCUUCCAGAUGUGUUCUCAACGGCUCCUAGCUGCCUUGGGGCUAUAAAAGGGACCCCUAGGCGCAUGGAGGAGAAUACCAAGCAUUCCUUGAGCACUCUUGAUCACUCACACAUCAAUCUCGCGCACUUGUUCGACAUUCUAGUGAUUUGAGCUCCGUUCUAGUGUGCUAGUCUUUUGAGCUCAAGUCUGGGUCUUGUGUGUGCGUAUUCGCUGUGAUCUUUGUGUCGUGUGUGAGUUGCUAAUCCCUCCCUUGCUCUGUGAUUCUCUGUGAACAUCUUUUGUAAGGGCGAGAGGCUCCAAGUUGUGGAGAUUCCUCGCAAACGGGAUUGAGAAAAGAAAAGCAAGAACACCGUGGUAUUCAAGUUGAUCAUUGGAUCACUUGAGAGGAGUUGAGUGCAACUCUCGUCCGUUGGGACGCCACAACGUGGAGUAGGCAAGUUUUGUACUUGGCCGAACCACGGGAUAACCACUGUGUCAUCUCUGUGAUUGGAUUCGUGUGGUUAUUGUGUUUUGACUCCUCUCUAGCCACUUGGCAUUACUGUGCUAACGCUUAAUCUAAGUUUUGUGGCUAUAAGUUUAAGUUUUUACAGGAUCACCUAUUCACCCCCCCCCUCUAGGUGCUCUCAUCUGUCCGUACAAUCUUUAUGCCACCGCAUGUGCAUAGCGGUCUUCCUCGAGAGAAACAAACGUUUCACUCUAGGAGUGAGAGGCAUGUACCGAAGCUGUUUAUGUGCAACCUUUGUCACCGCCUUCUCCCCAUCUUCAUUUACAAGCUCCACGUACCUCGACUUCCCACAUUUUAAGCAUUUCUGUUCUCUGUCAUGUUCCUUCCAAAAAAGCAUACAGUUGUCUUGGCAAACAUCAAUCUUCUCAUACUCCAUACCAAGACCUUCAAGCAAUUUCUUGGACUGGUACAUGUCUUUGGGCAUCUUGUGACCCAUAGGAAGAACCUCGCUAAUCAAAUCCACAAGCUCCUUGUAACAAUUAAUUGAGAAUGCAAACUUGGACUUGAUUGACAUCAGCCGGGUCACGAAUUCCAGUACGGUCACGUCAGUGUGCCCGUGAAGAGGCUCUUCUGACGCUUUGAGAAGGUCGAAGAACUUCUGAACCUCCGGUGUAGGUGAAUCAUGAUGAUCUGGUGCCAGUUCAGGCUGCAGAUCCUCAAGCAUCUGGUCCAUCCUAUCAACAUCAUCUUCACCGUCAUCAACUUCUACUUCUACUGCUCGUUCAACAUCUUCACCAUGGAGAUACCAGACCUUAUAGCCUGGCACGAAACCAUGCGAACAUAGGUGUAGUGUGACCUGCCUCUUGGCGUGGCUCGUCAUAUUUCUACAUUUAUUGCAUGGACACCUAAUAUUAUCUAUUUGUGACAAAGCAGUUGCAUGGUCCAGAAACAUCUGCGUCUUGGCAAACCAUUCACUUGUGUGACAUCCACCCUUCUUGAAACCUUCAUACAUCCAAUCACGUCUAUCACCCAUUAUUGCGGCUGUGUGUACGAGUAAAGAGUGCGUGUGAGACAAUCAUGUUUCUACACGUCACACAUAUAUACAUCUAUAGGUAAGUAGUAUAUAAAACUAUAUAUAUACAUAAAUAACUAUAUAUACACAUAAAUAACAUCAAAUUAACAUGAUAUUCAUCAAUUAACAAUAUUUGCAAACAUCCAAUCCAUCAAAUUAAAUUAUAAUUGCAGAACAUCAAAUUCAUUACCUAUAACAUCAAAUCUAUCAAAUUGAUUAAUGCUUGCAUAACAUCAAUUUCAUUAAAUAAUAACAUCAAAUACAUCAUAUCAUAUUUACAAAAUCAAGUUAUAAAUAACAAAUAUCAUACAUCAAAUAAUAUUAGGUCAAACCAUACUAACAAAUAACAAUAUUAAACAAAUUAUAAUCGCAUUACAGCUAACUCCCGUCGGCCAUAAAAACCGACGAAAAUUAAAACAUAAAUCAUUUGUUAAAUCAACUAUAAUAAUAGAAUUAAUAUUUACCUAACAUCAAGCCACACAUAAUAUUAAAACUAGCAAGUAUAAUGCAUAACUCCCGUCGGCCACAAAAAACCGACGAAAAUAAUCACAUAUUAAUUCACAUUUAGAAAUAAGAUUAUACCUCGAUGACUCGAACUUGAACGCGGACCGGAUGGCGAGCCCUCGGUUUCGGUGGUUGACCGGUGCGUCGAGGCACUGGCGGACGGCGGACGACGGUGGGCUGGGGACGGCGACGCUUGUGGACGGCGGCGACUUGUUGAGGGCGGACGGCGGACGACGGGGGCUAGGGGCGACGCAGCUCGGGUGGGCCGGGGGCGGUGUGGGGACGCUCGAGGCGGGGGCGCGGGUCGGGGCGGCGUCGCGCGCUCGGCCGGGGGCGGUGGCCGCGUGGGGCAGCGGCGGCGCAGCUCGGGCAGGGGCGGCGGCGCGGCUAGGCGCGCAGGGCGUCGCGCAGGGGCGGCGGCGCAGCGCGGGCCGGGGCGGCGGCGUGGCUAGGCGGCGGCGCAGCGCGGGCCGAGGCGGCGGCGGCGUGGCGCGGGCCGGGGGCGGCCUCGACGGCGGCCUCGGGCGGGGAGGGGGCGGCUUCGACGACGGCUUGGCGUGCGGGCGUCGGGCCCCUCGACGGCGGCCUCGGGCGGGGCGGCUCGGGGGCGGCCUCCGGCAGGGCGGCAGUUGGGCAGGGGCGGCGGCGCUCCGGCAGGGCAGGGGCGGUUUGAUUGAACGAAGAAGAAUGAGCCCGCGCGUCCGCGGCUGGGCUCUAAAAAGAUUAAUCCCCGUCGGCCAGAACAUAGGGCCGACGGGGAUUAACUAAUCCCCGUCGGCUUGGGAUGUGGCCGACGAGAAUAAAUAUAAUGCCCGUCGGCUAUUUUGUGGCCGACGGCAAUUAGUCUAUUCCCGUCGGCCAGAGCGAAAGCCGACGGGAAUUACCCUGGCCGACGGGGAUCAGUAGAAUUCUUGUAGUGCUAUAGGUAUGUAUGAAGAUGCGAUACAUGGUAUUAUAGGCACGCUCCACCCUUGUCCAAACAUUAUACCAAACUCUUUUUCUUCAUGAGUUUUUUUUUUCUCAAACAAAAUUCUCUUGAAAUGUUUAUAGUUAGGCAAUAUCAAUGCAAGUCUGUAUACCAAAUCUCCUAUUUUUCACAUCGAGGUUUUAAAGACGACGAUAUACAAUACAUGUUAUAUGCCGUAUCUUUUAUUUAAUGUGUUCGUUUAAAUCCACGCAGCAACGCUCACUCACGACUACUUUACAGUUCCCACGGGAUGGCAUUGCCACCGCGGCACCACCAGAGUAGCCCCCUGGUCUUAUCCUCCUCCCCCAAGAGCUUUCCCAACAAGAAGAGAGUACUUGCCCCUGCACAAAAAUCUCGAGAUGGUGGUCCGGCCGGUCCCUCCGCGCACGCCGCGACCCGCCCCCGUCCACGUCCACGUACCAACUGCUGUGGCCGGUUCUCGCGCGGGGACGUGGGUGUUAUAGUAUUACUCAGUAGCAAAGAGAGAUUUGAGACAGAGACAGAAUGACAAAUGACAGUUAUAGAUCUUUAUUGCAGAUAUUCUGGUUUAUAUACAUGUGGAUACAGUGUCUCCCAAAGGGUGUGUCCCUUGGCAGAAAACUGUCAGGGGAGAGGGUUGAUCACAUGACAAUAUUUUCUAACACUCCCCCUUGAUCAAUCCAAGUUCAUUUGAUCAUCUGCAAGCUGUCUUCCAAUAUAUUAUCUCCUCAAAAACCCUGUGGGAAAAAAUAAGGAGUACACAAUGUCUUUUGGAUUAUGAGUAAAACUCAUAUUGAACUCCAAAAGAAAAUAUGCUUGUAAUCAUCAUGUAUAAAAACCCCUGUGGGAGAAAAAUCAUGAUGAAGCAUAUAGCUUAGUUGAUAUUACCUCGUUAAAAACUUUGGAUGAGAAAACCUUAGCAAGGCAAAACUCAUACAAAGAAAAGAGUGUAAUAUGAUGGUAUAAAACAGGUCGAAUAUCACGGAGAAUUACUCCCCUGAUCUUGCAAACACUUAAGUCUUCUCAUACCAAUCACCUCAACACAUUUCUGAAAACGUUGAGUAUGGUAGAGAUUUUGUGAAUAGAUCAGCAAGAUUAUCACAAGACUUUGUUUGCAAGAUGUUAAUAUUUCCAUUUUCAUGUUUCCAUCUGAACAACAAAAGCUCAAUUAUCCUUAUGGAUAAUGGUCAGUGGUUCAAUUGAACCACAAUACGACAUUGUUCUCCAAUGGACCUCUAGCCCAAAGAACAAUAAUAUGUCUAUAGUCAUCAUCUCAAAAACCCCCGUGGGGAAAAAUAAAUGAUGAGACAUAUAACUCAGGCUAAUAUUUCUCCAAGAUAAUCUAGUCAGAAAAUCUGAGAAAUCAAGAUAUCAGCCGAGUCUCCUUAAAAACCCAACGGGAAAAAUAAGGAGAGUAGUCAUACUCUAUUGUUGAUCCAUUUGAACUCUAGGGAUAUAAACUCAUAUCCUAGUUCAAAUACAACAAUAACUAUGUCAUAAUGUAUCAUCCUUGAAAACCUCUACGAGAAAAAUAGAUGAUACGACAUAGACCUUGUGUUGAUGUUGUCUCGUUAAAAACUUUGAAUGAGAAACCCAAGCAGGGAAAAACUCAUGCAAAGAAAAGAGUACAACAUGAUGUAUAAACAAGUUCUCUCGAUCAAGAGGAAACUCCCCCUGGUCUUUGCAAAUUACUAAGUCAUCUCAUACCUGCUCUCAAACACAUUUAAAUGUGGAGUAAGGUAGAGACUUAGUUCGUAACUUGUUUUUCAUCUAAACAACACAGAGUAAUAUUAUCUUUGUAGAUAAUAAGGUCAGUGAUAUAAAAUCAUGACCACCACAUAUCCUCAGUAUGUAGUAUAUCAUUCUGUGUGUAAGUGGCCAUUAAUCUCUCUUGAUCGACAUUUAUCAAACAGUAGGUUCAACUUACCAGAAGUGUGUCAUUGAUCUUGUACCUGGGGAUCUUCUAUAGAUAUCCAAGAUCAAUAUAUCCAAACAUAAGGAGAGCAUGAGUACAUCUGGAGAUCAUAACUCGAUCUCAUGUGCUGUUAGCUAGCAAAUCAUUGCAAAGCAAUAUCCGGCCGGAUGCUCUUGCAAGAUACAAUAGCACAUCUCAUGAUCCGGAAGAAUCAAAUAACAAUGAUUCUCUCAUAUUGAAUUUCUUCAAUAUAUGUUGGAUAUAGACAAUUUUGUAUCCAAGAUACUCAAGAUAGUUUACUUUGAAUUGAAAAUCUCUUUCAAUUCAUAUCUUCUGUCUCGAACUCCGUCGAUAAGUAAUGUAUGUUUAGAAAUAUGUUGCACAUAUUUACGCUAAACAUACCAUUCUUUGUGUAUCCCUUCGGAAGGAAGGAUUCACUAGGUCGAAUGUACCAUAUUUGACCUGAAUGCUCUAAGUCACAAAGACUUUCCAAGCAUUGCAAAUUUGUGAUUGGUUAUUAUGUAUUUGGAAUCCUUCAAGACUCCAUAAAUACCAUAAUUCAGUGACCACAUAUGCACAUGUUGUCACUACAUCUAUCAACUGCACAGAUAGAUGAUUUACUGCCCAUAUUAUUGUAUCGGAAUUUAACUACUCACAGUAGAGGAGAAUUUAUAGCAUUAAAAUAAUGCUUGGGUUUGCGUAUAAACCCAGUUGCUACUAGCCAUGCUUUCUCACCACCUCAUUGUUUCCAAGUCCAUGAAAACAAACAUGUAUCCACAGUAAGAUACCUUGAAGUGAAAAUAACUUAACACUUCUUUCCGGUGAGCAAGGCUAUCUCUGCAACAUUGUAUCACUCAACAAGAUCCAAUUUGAGCAUACUCGUGCUCUGCUAUGGCCAUAGUCUUUUGGAUCACUUGGAGUGCAUAUACAAUUGCUGAGAUGUAUGUGUCGACACUUGUAGCUUUUAAAUAACACAAUUCUCCAGUUGACAUAAAGUCAUUUUUUAUGUACCCUUAUGAUUCCUCGUGAAAUCCCAAAACGAGAAUCAAGGGCUUCCGAUAACCUAGCCUCAUCAGUGCGCACUGAGCUAGGUUGUGAAUGUCUUCCAUUCACAGGAUAAUCCAUAUCCUCUAGGUGUCUACCAACACUAGGUUGGUUACCAACGAAUAGUUGAUUUGCAUUUACUAUUUCAGAAGGUCUAGCCUUCAGCUGCUUGCAAGCAUCUUAAUCCCAAUUUGUGACCAUACUUCUCCCCCUCUUAUUUACAACAACGUUGCAAUAGGGAGUUAAGUGGUUUUCCAUGUAACCACUCUUUCUGGCACUUCCUCAUAGGAUUAAUUUGAGUGACACCUCAUAGUAAAUGCACAUGGCAGUCAAUUUGCGACUUCUUGCAAAUCAUUCGAACCCAAAGGUUCAGUUUUUGUACGUGAUCCUGAGCCUGAAUGCUUACUGCAUUCAUUAUAAUUUCCUGGCAUUCUUUUUGGUACUCGAAAUCUCCCCCUAAUGCCUGGAAAAGCUCAUGAUUCAAGCAAGCGUACGGGCCAUAAAUAGAUUCUCAUGAAGAGAUUCUAAGGCUUAAUGAUCGACGGAGAAUGAAUUCUCACAUAGAUCCCCAGUUUUCUGUGUGCCCAUUCAUGUACGAUGCGGUGGUGAGAUUGGGAAAACAUACCCAAUGUACGCAUGGGAAAUUUUUCAUGGAUUCCCACGUACUAAAAACCAUAGGGGAACUUGUACAUCCAGUACAUGCAGUUAAUCACAAGUCAGGAGCGUGCAAAACUUCAUGACUCCAACCAUAACUAGUUGGAAAUGACAAUUCAUUACUGAUGGUCAUUAAUGAUCUGAAAUUUUCGAAUCUAUCACAGAUUCAUCAUAUCCUUUAUGGAUAUCAUUCUGAAUACCAAGACAAACAAUCAUCAUUGUAAGCGCAUUUGGUAAAUUCAGUAGUGUGGAGGCUAAUGUGCUCAAGCUUGAGACAUUAUUACUUAAUGGUCAUGUGUUGUCCGAAGGACACACUUCAGAUCAUCAUAUAGAUGCACCAAAUAACCAUAUAAAGCCUUCAAUGUCCAUACUGUCUAUGUAAUGGACCACACUCGUUCUUUUGAAACAAUUCAAAGAACUUAACCAAUUCAGAUCAGAUUUUAAGAUAAGAGGGACUUAAAAUCUCAUUCCCAAUGAUACUCAUCAAGUAUCCAUCUUAUGGGAAAAACAUGACCAACAGAAUUGUCCAUAACUUUUCAUUUCAUCACAAUAAUGGAAUUACCAAUUCAGUCUUACCCAGCAUGGUAAGUAUCGUCACAUGAAAAGUUUAACAAAUGCAACACAUUGUACGAGAGGAUGUAUGUCGAAUACAAUCCAUAAAAAAUGUUUCCGUGAAACACAUGCAAUAUCCAUUACUAUCACUUUGUGUUUCCACAUGAUAGGAAUUAUAUGGAUACCUCUAUAAUAUGGUAAGAUAGCAAUUAGGAUAUCUCAACAUAUCCUUGAUACUUCCAAUACCAAAAGGGGACUAGAUAUUAACAUAUCAUGAUAUCGCGCGAAGCGGUUGUCAAAAUAUUCUUUCCUCUUUCCAAAGGAAUACAAGAAUAUUUUGUUUCCCCACUUAUAGAGUUUGUGGCACAAUUCUCCACAUUGCAUGUUUCUUCCUCAAUUGGAAGAAUCCCUGUACAAGUUUGCACAACUCAAAUCAAUGAGUCUUCAACUCCCUUGAUGAGUUGGUUCAACUCUAAUCGAUGAGUUUGUUCAACUCAAAUCACAUGAGUGAUUAACUUCAAUCGAUGAGUUUGUUUAACUCAAAUUCAUAUGAGUUUUUACACUCAAAUCACAUGAGUGUGUUCAAAUCACAUCGCAUGAGUUGAACCUAUCACAACAUCAAUUAUGAGAUUAUACCAAAUCUCAUGCAUCAUUUAAAUAUUACUCAAAAGCAAAUCAUCUAACAAAGUGGUCUUCUCUUAGGAAGAGAAGUGUUGUUACAUGAUUAGUCCAAAUCAUGAAUUACACAACUAACCACUGUUAUCAUGUCAGAUGGAAGAUUGAAGUACACUUCAUAUCUUAGCUUUCAUGAGUAGUAUGCAUCUAUUGGGAUUUUAUAUACAUGAUUAGUGCUUAGGCAUACAACACUAUAUCAUGUAUAGUGUAAUGACAAAAGAGUUUGUCAUACUCAUUGCCCUUCCCUUUUUAAUGUGCUUAUAUAUUUGCUUUCAAGCAAAAUAUAUGAAUACAAAGUGUUAGUCUACAACAUAAUGUAGACACAUACUCAUAAGUCCACAAGUCUUAUGAUUUUCUUUGCUAUUCAUUUUGCGCUUGCACAUCAAGCCGCAAAAGCACAUAAGUUCUUUUCAUAAGAACCAUAAGAGAAAGUGAGCAUCUCAUUUCCUCCAAAUCGAAGAGGUGAAUUCCCAUAUCAUGCAAAAAUGAAAUGAACAUAUCCAAUGAACAUUAAGGAUAAUUAAGCCCAUUAGGCGAGUUGAUCAAACUCUAUUAAAUAAUUAUCCUCCAAAUGGCUUAACCAUUUUUCUGAUGUUGUAAUAUGCUGCAAAAUAUAUCAUAUCUUCAUAUGUUGGAGAAUUAUAGGUAUCACAUACAGUGUACCAACAGAUUUUUGAAAAAUUUGGUGGACACAACGUAGAUAAUCUCCAUGUAAUGCAACAAUGGAGUAGAUCUCCCAGUAGUGGGCAAAACUUUUGCUGCCUGAAAGCAUGGUCUCUGGGCUGAUAUAUUCAAGGAACAUACCGCAGCCAAUGCUUAGGACUCCACUACCCUGUGCUUGACCAAAUUUUCAAAAACAAAAUGGUAAUCACCAUAAAGGUGAAUAACCAACAUCAAGUCUCCUACAUAUCUACUUGGGAUAACACAUAGGUAAUCAUCAUCCUCAUAUGAUGUAGACCUCUUACUGAUGGGCAAAUAACAUUUUGCUGUCUAAAAGCUUGGUCUCAGGGUAAAUAAAUUCCAAGAACUUAUUGCAGCCAAAGCCUAGAUCUCCAUCAUGUGUUGAAUAAUCCCAAGUUGAAGAUAUGUGUCAUAUUUUGCAAGAAUUCAUCAUUUAAUUAUGUAGUACUUAAUUAAAAGAAUUCUUUUAGUUGUCAUCAUGACAACAGCGUCUAGCCUGGCUCCAUAGCCCGUGACGCCUACUUGGUCCGUGAUCUUUUUGGGUUGCACGUAUAGGUAAUCAUCUCGAAAGAUGUAGACCUCAUAGUGAUGGGCAUUUCAAAUGCGGCCUAAAGCACGGUCUCUGGGCUACUAAACUCUAUAAAGAAUUUAGCGUAGCCGGUGCUUAGGACUCCAUCACCCUAUGCUUUUCCAAAAAUGCAACAUUAUUUUGCAUGGGGACCAUUAGUUUCAACUUAAUAAUGUGUUAUGUUUUCCAUGCAAACAUAAAAGAUUGCAAAAACAAAAGCAGUUGAAAAUAUGUGAAUUAUAAAUGUAAAAACAAAGAUAAUUCACAAUAAUAAAACAAACAAGUAUGUACAAUACAUAGAAUAAUUUGCAGUCUAAAUGUCAAAUAUGGACACACUAACACAAGUUAGAACUGAAUUUACAUAUAAAACUGAGUCUUAUACUAAAAUUCAGAAAUUGUAAAUGAUAAAUAGGCCAUAUAGGCCAAUCUGGUCCCAUGGGGGUGGCUCAAGCGCCACCAGGCCGAGACGGCCCACGCGGCCAGCCUCCAGGCCAGGGCGGCCCAUGGCGCGCCACCGUGGGGUAACCCACGACUGGGACUAGCCCAUGUGCUGCCAGCCAGGUGGCCCAUGGUGCACAAGCGCCCAAUAUUAAAGGGAGACGAUUAGGGUUUUUAAAACCCUAACUGCCCCCAUUCUAGCCGCCGUCGUGAGCCGGUCGCAUUGGCCGCGGGAUCCACCGCCCCUAGCCAGCCCGCGCUGGAGCCAGGCCGUCGCGCCAUGGUCGAUCUCGCCGAGCGCCGGUGAGCCGCACCGUGGCCGAUCUCGCUGAGCGCCGGUGAGCCGUGCCGGCGCGCCCGUCGGUGAGCCGAGCCGAGUGGCCAGGGUCGCUCGCCCGCUCCGGGGCCGAGCCACGCGCGCCGAGGGGGGGCCCGCCCGCCCCUGCCAGAGCCGAGGCCGAGGCUGGCUGUGCUCGGUCGUGCGCGCCGAGGGGUCUCGCCCGCCCAUGCCGGAGCCGAGGUCGAGGUCGAUAGUGCUCGCCGCCCGUGCACAAGGGUGCCCACACCGGAGCACCCGUGCCAGCGCCAAGCAGCGCCCGUGCCGGGGGACGGGUCGCACCCGCGGCUGCCCUGCACGCCACCAGGGAGCACCGCCACGCGCCAGCAGAGGCUAACGCCGCUGUUGCUGGCCGCGCCCAUGCCGACCGGCGGGCCCGAGCCAUGCGAGCGGCCAUGCGCCGGGGGACGGCCGCGCGUUCUAGCCGUGCCCGAGAGCAGGCCACGCCCGCGUCGUGAAACCCCGUGUCCGCGCCGGUGCGGGCCUUGCCACGCCCAGGGCCGACCGCGGCCGCGCUUGUGACCGGCCGCCAUCGGGCCGUUCAUGCCUGUACCCGGCCGAGCCUGCUCCGGGGGCGAGUCGUGCCGAGCGGCCGACCGAGCAGCGUCCGCGCAGGUGUGUGCCGCCGUGGCCAAUCGUCGUCGGACAACGCCAUCGACGUCACAAAGUUCUUUAUGCGAACGACAGAACCCAAAGAGGAACAACGAACGCAAAGAGGAACAGGAACGGUUCCAUACCUUCCUGUUGUUCUAGAGACCGAGCCCCCCAAUUUCCUUCAAUAGUAAGCGUCCCUUAACAACGAAUUCUCUUGUUCUUGCGAGCAAAAGUGCUGAUAACGUGUUAUAGUAUACUCAGUAGCAAAGAGAGAUUUGAGACAGAGACAGAAUGACAAAUGACAGUUAUAGAUCUUUAUUGCAGAGAUUCUGGUUUAUAUACAUGUGGAUACAGUGUCUCCCAAAGGGUGUGUCCCUUGGGAGAAAACUGUCAGGGGAGAGGGUUGAUCACAUGACAAUAUUUUCUAACAGUGGGUUCCGGACUUCCGGUACGGCCGCCGCGCCGACGUGGCACGUGGCGAGGACCAGCGUCGGAUGGCGCCAUGGAGGGCAAAUGUCUUAGGGCGUGUUUGGUUUGACUUUUGGCUUUGGUUUUUGCCCCCCUAAAAGUCAAAAGCCAACCAAAGGACUGGAUCCAGGAAGCAGCUUUUUCUAAAAGCCGACUUUCUUGUAGUGCAAAUCUAAAAGCACCACUGGACCUGCUUUUAGUGGCUUUUUGGAUGGAACUGUAAAAACAUAUAUCGAAGAAUUUUUAGCGACUUUUAGUGGUUUCCACCAAAUGCUUUUUAGCUUUUUAACAGCUUACAGCCUACAAUAGCUUUUUCCACAACUCACAGUUCACAACAACUUUUUUCACAGCCACAGCCCAACCAAACAGACCCUUAACCUUUUGAGGCUGCAGGAUUAUUGCGCUAUUUCAUCUGCUGCUUUUUUCCCCAACAGCCCAAGUUACAACCUUGGUACUAUUACCAUUAUUAUUCCAGAAGUUUCCGGAGCUAACAAGGCUGUUCAGGCAACUAAACUGGGAGCGGGCUCAGUUACAGUACUAUCAACCUGACAGAAACGGAGUAUAUAUCCGAGUCAGACGAAGGGAGAAAAAUAGACCAGCCCCCAUCACUUGCAUAUAUUUUUGAACCACGUCGCCGCUCCUAAUCAGACGUGAUCUACUGAUUGUUUUCGUGUUGAUGAAGCGUUACUCGAAACUACAUGUGUCGUCCGAAAAAGAAAAAGGAUCCCAGGCGUUGCCGUCAAAAUACAAAAAAAAAAAUACCGGCUGCUUUGUUAGGCUCCUCUCAUCGUCUCUAUUAAUAGUCGCUAGAUCUUCUAUAAAAAAAACUAACCUAAACUUAUCACUUUUAACCUCACGUAUAAUUUUCUUCAUUUCAACCACCGUGGCUUUAUAACGUGAACUGAGCCACACAUGUCGUUGUUUUAAAUAAUAUGAAACAAUCCUAUAUUACGCAACUUAAGUUUUGUAAAAUUAUAUAGCUAGUCCGUUCGGAUGUCACUUGAUGACAUCCAAAUAAACUAGCUAUCUAUUCUUUCAAAAAACCGAGUGACAUAUUUUCGAUUGACUCGAAUCAUAAUCCCGUGUGGUCUCUCGACAAGUCAAUUUCUAGAGCUAUUAAAGCCAAACUUACCUAAAAAGACCCAACAAGUGUCGGCUACCAAAAUAUUCUUAAUAACCGGAAAUGAUUUUGGAGGUGCAUUGGAGGGUCCACGAACCCAACAGCGGCGUGCGUGAUUGUUAAUGCCGUUAUGGCUGAAAAUAAGUUAGAGGCCGUUUAGAUCUAGAUGACUAAAUUUUAGUUAUAUCGUUAUGGAUGUUUGGAUUCUAGUUAGAAAUAUUAAAAUCACUUGUUUGGUUUUAUAUGACUAAACUUUAGUCAUUUACUUUUAGUCUCCAUGUUGCCAAAUAAAGAGACUAAACCAGAUUCCCCAUCUUUUCUUAAUAUCUGCGUUUGGAAAUUUAGAGACAAAAAGACUAAAAAGGAAAGGAUCAUUAUCCUAUAAAACUAAAUAAACCUUAAAUAUAAUCUAACUAUAAAAAUAAUUAUUCAGACACCUCCUGUAUCCCUUGCCCUUCCUCCUCCCCGCCCCCAGUCACCGCCAGUCGCAUGUGUCCAAAAGACGCGGCAGCGACGGAGCGGCCAGCCCGUACCCCAGGUUUCUAGAAACUACAGGAAUAACUUCACUCUGUGUGUGAAAGAGCCUGAUGGGCCCCAAAAGAACCCCGGCCCCCGGGUUGGGACGCGGCACGCCACCCCUAGGAAGAUGGAGGGAUGGAUCAGCGUCAUGCCGGCGCGCGCCAAGUAUCGUAGGGCAGUACCCCCACACCUCCCGACGUGUCCCGAAGCGCUAGCCCCCGCCCUCCACCUCGCGCUCCGCAUGCCUGACACCUUCCCACCACGCCCCCACCCUUCGCCCUUUUUCCCCAUCCCCACCCCCACCAGGUCGAGCGAACCCUCACUGACCACGGGCCACCCCCAGAUCGUGGGCGCCAGGACUUGACGGCGUUAGCUUAUCGGGGACUCCGUCGUCUGCCUUAUCCACGGUUAGCUAACCGCGGUCGGGCCCGGGUCAGGCGCGCGACCGUCCGCUUUAUAAGCGCGCAGCCCUUGGACUCGUCUCCCUCGUCCCCAACCCACACACUGCCCACCGGUCUUUCUCACACAACACAGCCACACAGGGAUAUAAGCUCAGUCCACGAGAUCUCCCGUAGACCAGUGGCGAGGGAAGGAACGAAACAGAGCCCGAUCCUAGCGACAGGCCAGGGAAGAUCGCCAUGAUGAUGAUGGGCGAAGGCGUGAGCGUGCCGCCGUGGUCCCACCACGUCCCCGUGAGCGGCGUCGACGCCGGCGUCGGCGGCGACGAGAUGACGCCGUACCUGCUGGCGGCGCUGCGGCAGUACCUGCCGUGCAACGACGCCGGCGCCGCCGAGGCGGACGACGAGGAGGCGGCGGCCAUGGCCGCGGGCGUGGACGGCUACGGCUGCGACGAGUUCCGCAUGUACGAGUUCAAGGUCCGGCGGUGCGCCCGCGCGCGCAGCCACGACUGGACCGAGUGCCCCUUCGCGCACCCGGGGGAGAAGGCGCGGCGGCGCGACCCGCGCAGGUACCACUACUCGGGCGCCGCCUGCCCGGACUUCCGCAAGGGCGGGUGCAGGCGCGGCGACGCCUGCGACUUCGCGCACGGCGUCUUCGAGUGCUGGCUCCACCCGGCGCGCUACCGCACCCAGCCCUGCAAGGACGGCACGGCCUGCCGCCGCCGCGUCUGCUUCUUCGCGCACACCCCGGACCAGCUGCGGGUGCUCCCGCCCACGCCGCAGCAGUCUAGCGCCAGCCCCAGGGGCGCCGGCGCGCUGCCCGAGUCCUACGACGGCUCCCCGCUGCGUCGCCAGGCGUUCGAGACCUACCUCACCAAGAGCAUCGUGUCCUCGUCGCCGACCAGCACGCUCCUGUCGCCGCCCAAGACGCCCCCGUCCGAGUCGCCGCCGCUGUCGCCGGACGGGGCCGCCGCCGCCUUCCGCCGCGGGUCCUGGCCCGGCGCCGGGUCCCCCGUCAACGACGUCCUGGCCUCGCUCCGCCAGCUCCGCCUCGGCACGGCCAGCUCGUCCCCGUCCGGCGGGUGGGGCGGCUACCCGGCGUCCGCGGCUGCCUACGGGUCGCCCACAGCGGGCGGGCUCUACAGCCUGCCCUCCACCCCGACAGCCCUCGCCACCGCCUCCGGCUACAUGCCCAACCUGGAGCCGCUUGACGUCAGCUUCGGCGGCGACGAGGAGCCCGUGGAGAGGGUGGAGUCCGGGCGGGCCCUCCGCGCCAAGGUGUUCGAGCGGCUCAGCAGGGAGGGCGCUGUUUCCUGCUACCCAGCUGCCGGAACCGGUGGCCCCGACGUCGGGUGGGUCUCCGACCUCAUCAACUGAGGCGGCUUCGGCGGCGGGUCGGUGCUGCAUAGCAGUGGAGAAAAGGUGGUGGUAACUGGUAAGCCGUAACAGAGAAGGAUGGCAUAAAAAAAUGUUCCCCUUUGGUUCCAGAUAAUUCCGCUAAUUACCCUGUACAUAGAUAUCUAUCGCCCUGUGAAUAUUCUCGGCUGGUUGGGUGGAGGGCUGAUGCUAGGGGGUGGAUUUGUUUUGGGGUUCUUGAGGUAGCGGAAAAUUUCCAAGGAAAAGAAAAUAUGUAAGGAAGUGUAGAUGUCGUAGGCGGCGGCGGCGGCGGCGGUUUGUGCCCUCUUGUGUGCUGCGAAGCAUGGCGAGGGCCGACGGUGACGACGAAGACUGGCCGGAUUUCCAGCUUUGGUGUUCCUGUGAUUCCGCAACAAGUUCAGUUUGAUGUUGUUUCAAGUUCUUCCGUCGCCUGUGCACUAUGCAUCCGGCUAGUUGGCGAUUGCAACCUGCUUGUGGAUUACUACCCCCAUUUUGUUGUUGAUGUUGAUGUAAUCUGUUUAUUAAGACCCAGCAUUCCCCUACAGCUUAUUUUGUUGUACUUACUAUAUAUCUUUAGUAGGUGCCGAAAUCUCAGUUCACCCGCUAUUGGAGGUGAAUUUGCCGUGUAAUCUUUGGAUCAAGUAAAUGGUUUAAUGUCCGUCGCCCAGCGUGUGUUUGU
rnacentral:lncRNA from 1 species